rnacentral:snRNA from 1 species
GGAGUGGGCGAUCUGGCUGUGACAUCUGUCACCCCAUUGAUCGCCAGGGUUGAUUCGGCUGAUCUGGCUGGCUAGGCGGGUGUCCCCUUCCUCCCUCACUGCUCCAUGUACGUCCCUCCCAAAGCUGCGCUCCCGGUUGAAGAGGACGACCUUCCCCGCUAGAGGAGGACCGUUCUUUGGUCAAGGGUAUACGAGUAGCUGCGCUUCCCUGCUAGAACCUCCAAACAAGCUCUUUUCUUGACUGCUUUUAUUUAAAUAUUGAGACUCACCAAGACUGAGCCUCCAAG